UACGGGGAGUGCAAGCGUUGUUCGGAAUCAUUGGGCGUAAAGCGCGUGUAGGCGGCCUACUAAGUCCGGUGUGAAAGCCCUCGGCUCAACCGAGGAAGUGCAUUGGAUACUGGUAGGCUCGAGUGCAGGAGGGGGAAGCGGAAUUCCCAGUGUAGAGGUGAAAUUCGUAGAUAUUGGGAGGAACACAAGUGGCGAAGGCGGCUUCCUGGACUGACACUGACGCUGAGACGCGAAAGCGUGGGUAGCAAACAGG
rnacentral:rRNA from 1 species